ACACGACUCUCGGCAACGGAUAUCUAGGCUCUCGCAUCGAUGAAGAACGUAGCAAAAUGCGAUACUUGGUGUGAAUUGCAGAAUCCCGUGAAUCAUCGAGUUUUUGAACGCAAGUUGCGCCCGAAGCCAUCCGGCCAAGGGCACGUCUGCCUGGGCGUCACGCAUCUCGUCGCCAUCCCUCCUCGUCCUC
rnacentral:rRNA from 1 species